ACCUCAUUGGUGGCUAUGCAGGUGGCUGCCAUGAGAUAGUCAUGUGUUCAGGAGUAACAUCCAGAAUAUUAAUAGGACCUGUUGGUGGCCCAGGAACAUCAAGAACAGUAAGAUGUACGGCUACUGUUUUGCUACCGGCUGCAUUGGAAACUGUGAUUUGAUAUUCCCCAGUGUCUCUCCUUAAGCAGUUCUUAAUGAGAAUAGACGCCUUGAUGGCUCCUCUGGCAGUUCUUGAUGACCAUGGAUGAGCUAAUGGCUGUGGUCUCAAUGGUGGCUUCUUGAGGAGCAUGCAGAGAAAUUGCUUUAGCCUCUGAUAAAUAAAACAGACUGCGAGGAAAAUUACAGCGAGGAAAUUACAGACAUCAUCUCCUUUGAACAGGGAAAAGGUAACAGAUGGUAUUGCCUCUGAAUUUGCUGAUUCAGAAGAUGUCGGACUCAUGUUAUCCUAUAGAAGAUGUAACAACCCAUAUACAUUUAUGAAAAUCAGGAACUACAUUAUUAUAAUGAUGAAGGAAAAGCCCAAGAAAUCAACCAACCUGAAACCUGCAAUGAAGCUGUGCAGCUGUCUUUGCCAACAGGGUUCUGCACCUCAAAACUGUAUACCCCACUGUCACUCGGUGCUACAUUGAUGAUCUUAAGGCCGGAUACUUUGUUGAAGAAGCUUAUUUUGUAUUUGUUGUCACUUGUUAGCUC
rnacentral:lncRNA from 1 species